GUUCUUCAGUUUUGGGGGCAUAACUUUUCUGUAUGAUGAUAUUCAUUAUAGGAUGAAUCAAUUCGUACUGUAGAUUUGAGUCCAUACUCAUCUUUUGAUUUUCAAGUUGCAAAUGGAUUAUUGCCACUACAAAAGCUUUAUCCAAGCAGAAUCUACCAAAAUCACUAGGAAAUUGAUUUGGGUUUGUUUUGGAUUUUUGGGUUUUUAAUUCCAAUUGCAUAAUCCAAUGCAAUUAUUCCAUUUAGGUUUUCUUUCUAUUUUUUUACGAUGAUUGAUUGCUUUUAUUUAGCUGGUCGUUGAAAAGGGAACUGGUGACCUACAACUAGCUGUGGUUUACCUAACACACAAUCCACUUUUACAAGCAUUUUGUGCUAGGGUCCAAUUAGAAACAAAAUUCCCAAGGCACAUCUUUUUUCAUAUGCAGGCUAGUGCAUUCAAAGGGCCUGUUUUCACCCAUGCAGAUGUCAAGCCUGAUAUGGUGGUGAAGGCAAAGGUGCUUUUUUUCCUGCAUUCAUUGUUACUUUUGUUUUGCUGACAGUCUUCAAGCCACUCUUUGUUUUGUUUGUAAUAGUAUUAAUACUUGAUUUAUGCAGAGACUAUGUACCUAACUCCAAUGGAGAAAUAAGGUAAGAAUUUGAUGCAGGUCAUAGCCCCGUUCAACCUGAGAAUGGCAUGCAAGGCGAUCAAGAUGCUAUCCAGUAUAGGUGUAGAGAGGCACCAAAAGCUGUCAUAGAGCUUGAAAAUUAUGGGUUGCCAUUUUCCCGAACUGAAGAAGGGAAAAUAUAUCAGUGUGCAUUUGGUGGUCAAAGCCU